rnacentral:rRNA from 1 species
GAUGAACGCUGGCGGCGUGCCUAAUACAUGCAAGUCGAGCGAACGGACGAGAAGCUUGCUUCUCUGAUGUUAGCGGCGGACGGGUGAGUAACACGUGGAUAACCUACCUAUAAGACUGGGAUAACUUCGGGAAACCGUAGCUAAUACCGGAUAAUAUUUUGAACCGCAUGGUUCAAAAGUGAAAGACGGUCUUGCUGUCACUUAUAGAUGGAUCCGCGCUGCAUUAGCUAGUUGGUAAGGUAACGGCUUACCAAGUCAACGAUGCAUAGCCGACCUGAGAGGGUGAUCGGCCACACUGGAACUGAGACACGGUCCAGACUCCUACGGGAGGCAGCAGUAGGGAAUCUUCCGCAGUGGGCGAAAGCCUGACGGAGCAACGCCGCGUGAGUGAUGAAGGUCUUCGGAUCGUAAAACUCUGUUAUUAGGGAAGAACAUAUGUGUAAGUAACUGUGCACAUCUUGACGGUACCUAAUCAGAAAGCCACGGCUAACUACGUG